AACAUCGCGCACCUGCGGGAACCUGCGGAGGGAUCAUUACCGAGUUUACAAACUCCCAACCCUAUGUGAACCUUACCAAUCGUUGCUUCGGCGGGCUUAGCCCCCGCGCCCUCGCCGGCGCCGGGAGAAAGGCGCCCGCCGGGGACCCCAAACCCAAUGUUUUUCAUGCAGUAUUUCUGAGUGGCAAACGCAAAAAUAAAUCAAAACUUUUAACAAUGGAUCUCAGAUCGGAAGAGCACA
rnacentral:misc_RNA from 1 species